rnacentral:lncRNA from 1 species
AUUAAAAUUUUGAGAAUAGAACUAAAAUUCUCAUGAAUUUUUUGUUUAAAGGUGAUUAAUAUUUUAAAAUAAGAAAUGUUUAUUUCAGAAAUAAAAAAGAACUGCUUAUUUCAUAAAUAGAUACAAAAUUCAGGUAUAAGCUGGAACUAGAGUAAUUUUUUAUUUGGAUGAAAAUUAGGUUGUUUUUGAGAAAAAGAUAAAUAAUAUUUGGAUGGCUAGAUUGGAGUAGCGGAAAGUAUUAAUUAAAAUAUUUAUUAGCUAUGAACAUUAUAUAAGAUAAUUAAAAUAAUUAAUUAAUUUAAUUAAUUAUAAAAUACAAAUUGAUUUUUUAAUUACUUAGUGAAUUAUUUAAUUAGUUAGAUGAGUUAUUGAGAAAUUAAUUUAAUU